AUAAAAAUUUUAAUCAACUAUUGUGAUAUACUGAUUAGAUAUUCGCCAUAUUAGGUGAAAUCGAAUAUCAAAUUUCAUCUUGUAUUUAUAUUUUGACUAUGAGAGAUGCUUCAAAUGGCUAUAUUUUAACAUGUUUCCAAAUUACGUUGGGUUUCAGAAAAUGAUUUAACUUAGUUGUGAGAAAAAAAAAAAGGAAAAAAUGGUUGUUUAACUAUUUUGUUUUUGUUUUUCUUUGACUAUAAUAAACUCCAAGGUGAAAU
rnacentral:lncRNA from 1 species